AUUGAACGCUGGCGGAAUGCUUUACACAUGCAAGUCAAGCGGCAGCGCGGGGCAACCUGGCGGCGAGCGGCGAACGGGUGAGUAAUGCAUCGGAACGUACCCCGUCGUGGGGGAUAACUACCCGAAAGGGUAGCUAAUACCGCAUACGACCUGAGGGUGAAAGCGGGGGACCGAAAGGCCUCGCGCGAUGGGAGCGGCCGAUGCCGGAUUAGCUAGUUGGUAGGGUAAAGGCCUACCAAGGCGACGAUCCGUAGCUGGUCUGAGAGGACGACCAGCCACACUGGAACUGAGACACGGUCCAGACUCCUACGGGAGGCAGCAGUGGGGAAUUUUGGACAAUGGGCGAAAGCCUGAUCCAGCCAUUCCGCGUGAGUGAAGAAGGCCUCGGUUGUAAG
rnacentral:rRNA from 1 species